UUGCUUUGGCAGCACAUAUACUAAAAUCGGACUGAUACAGAGAAGACUAGCAUGGCCCCUGCACAAGGCUGACAUGCAAAUUCGUGAAGUCUUCCAUAUUUUU